GUUUCAAGAACCUUGCUGUGCUCAAUCCUUAAGCUUUUUUGACCAAAGCAUUACUAACAUUCCAUUUAGACAUCAGGGAACCAUGUCAGGAAGCAGAAAUGAGCAUAAUAUGUCACCUUUAAAAGCGCUAUAAAAGGGAGCGUCUAAGAGGAGGUUGUCAUUUCUUCUGAGACAGUUGAAGAGAUAAACAACAACAUGAAGAGGCCUGCUACUCCAGACCAGACUGUGCCUUCCCGCCGCCCCCGCCUGCAUCCCCCAGAUGCCCAACCUGAAGCUGCUGAGGAGGAUUACCCCACUCCUCCAACUGCAGUUGAGGAUGUGCCGGUUGUCUACCCGUCAGUGGAGCAGCGGGGUGGUUCAACUGAUUCUCCUCCGGGAAGGCAGACAGAUACCGUGGUUGCGACAAGUUUUGCUGAGUCUGGCACUGAGGAGGUGGAGGAUGCCGGACCCAGUCAAGUCUUCUUGAAGUGUUGUUAGCCCGACCCUCUGUGGUUAGACUGCUUGAAGCCAAGUAUCCUUGGCAAAACACACUUAAACAAUACCAACUCUUGUUAGAUCCGACAGUGAAAUUAUUCAAGUUCUUGCAACAUGUUCCUGUCAAAGUCUCUCAAAAUGUAAAAUAAGUCCCAUUACUGUGAGCUGGCAACAAGCAAGAAACAUCAAUCAUCAAUUUAGCCUUCUCCAACAAAGUUGUGUGUCAUGAACACAAUGGGCACACCAUCCUUUAGUCA